GCUGAGUGUAGUGGUCCACACUUGUAAUCCCAGCUACUCAGGAGGCUGAGGCAGGAGGAUCACAAUUUCAAGGCCUUCUUUGGCAAUUUAACAAGACCUGUCUCAA
rnacentral:sRNA from 1 species